UACGUAGGGGGCAAGCGUUAUCCGGAAUUACUGGGUGUAAAGGGUGAGUAGGCGGCAUGGUAGGCCAGAUGUGAAAGCCUUGGGCUUAACCCGAGGAUUGCAUUUGGAACUAUCAAGCUAGAGUACAGGAGAGGAAAGCGGAAUUCCUAGUGUAGCGGUGAAAUGCGUAGAUAUUAGGAAGAACACCAGUGGCGAAGGCGGCUUUCUGGACUGAAACUGACGCUGAGGCACGAAAGCGUGGGGAGCGAACAGG
rnacentral:rRNA from 1 species